UUUAUUGCGUGUUGAUAAAUAAUCAUAUUUUCUUAGAAGAUAAAGUGAAUUAUCUAUUUCAAAGAAAGAAUGAAUCUUUUGAAAUAUCAUGUCUUCUUUGAGUUAAUUGCAGUUAUUCUCAACCAUUUUCCUUGUUUCUAAAUAUUCUAUCACUUUUUUAAUUCAGUUUUCCCUUUUGCUAUUAUACCAAUCUCUACCUAUUAUUGUCAUAAUGACUAAAAGCUGAGACUUAAACUAGAAUUCUCCUUUUCCCAAAAAGAUGUUUCUGUCUCACCUUUUACAGACUGCUAAUUCCUUCUUACAGAGUCUGUCUUCAAAAUGAUAGUGGUGGAGGAGAGUUUCUUUAACUUACUUGCGUUUGUAUUCUAUCUUUCUGCAUCCAUGAUUGAAACUCCCUCCUCUCUGGGUAAAGCUCAUUUUUAGCAUAAAUAGAUUAGUAAAUAUUAAUUAAAUUGAACUAAGGGAUGAAAGUGAUGAAGGGCUAGUUUAAUAGAGUAUGGCUUCAGAAAUACACAAAGAAACUCCCUCCUCUGUAGCUCAUUUUUGGCAUAAAUAGAUUAGUAAAUAUUAAUUAAAUUGAACUAAGGGAUGAAAGUGAUGAAGGGCUAGUUUAAUGAGUAUGGCUUCAGAAAUAGAGUAUGGCUUCAGAGAACAGAGGUUUGGUGAGAGAUGAGGAAGGGGUAUCUUGAUUCAACUCAUUGGCAUUAGCAAAUUGUUAGGCUGGUUGGUUUUGAUGACAGUAACAGUGAGGAAAUGAUUUGUGAUUGACAUAGCUCCAGUGGAUGAAGGAGGGGAGAAAAUGAGAAGGAUGUGAGGAGGCUAAGCUGAGCUCCAGAAAGAGAGUUGAGUAUACAGUAGCUGGUAACCUACCAUGUGAUGUUUCCUUAUUUAAAGAAAACAAUCAAAUGCUGAAUAUUUUCACUUUAUGCAUAUAAAUUAUCAGAUGCCUAGACCAAGCCAGUUACUAAGUGAUGUGAGAUUGACAAUUCCAUUUAUUAUUUAGAAUAAUACAACUGUAUUGUCUCCAUCUUAUUGAUAAGGAAGCUAAACUUGGAUUGAUUAUGGUCCUUCUGGCACCAAUCCUUUGCCCAUGACCAUCAAGAAUGAAUGGAAUUUUAUCCGAUCAGAUGUGUACCAUGGUUGAGGCACUCUGGUAUUUAAAAUUAUUAGUUUCUUUAUAAUUGUAGAUUCACAUUUUCACUUUCUACUUCCGAGCAAGUAAAAUGCUAGAAUUCCUAUUUCAGAUUCCUUCAAAAUUUUUGUCUCUUUAUGCAUUUUUUGCCUAUAGUUUGCAUACCUUUCAGUAAAUUAUCAAUACAUUUGUGACUAUGAAGGGUUUUAAGUAAAUAUAAACAAAAAUAAAGAGAUAUAAAAAAUCAUACUUAACUAUGGAUGGUUUUGAAAACACAGCUGCACUUGUAGACUGUAUGCUAAUUACAAUACAAAAAUCAUUGAUAUAUGCAAAUAAUGAAUAAUCACCUGAAAACAGUUUAUGAAAUCCAAGAGGGGAUUUUUAUGAAGGAGAUUUAUAAAAACAUUACAUGGCCUCUAUACACAUCUUCUCACUUAACUACUAUGUGUUUAAUUUGAUGUUUUAUAGAAUUAACUCAAGGGCAAAUUGUGUGGUAAGCAAUGGUAAUUUAUCUCUACCACAUUUUGUGCUUAGCACCAUUAUUACAAUCUAUGGAUAUUUUCUAUAAUUCCAUGUACUGCUGUUCUACCUUCCCCAAAUUAAUAGUCAUUCUGGCUCACCAUCUUUCCUUAAAACAACAACAACCAUUAAAACAUCUAGAUAUUACUUUGUCAUUUUUCUUAUAGUCUUGUAAUCUGGGAGUCAAAACAGAGGUGACAUUAGUCAUUGAUGUAUUAGUGGUCUAUUAUUCCCUUUUCAAAUGAGAUUCCAUAUCACAGUUAAGACUCAGAGCCAAGGAUGACUCCAAUACUGAAGGUUUCUGUUCUAUAAUAGCCCUUGUAGGUUUUGUUGUGCUUUAUAUGUAAGGCGUUUUUAAUGUGUGGUGUAUUGUGUUUAAGUAGAGGCCCAUGACUCAUCUCAAAUCAUGUUAUUUAACCGUCAUGAGCAUUUUUUGCAUAAUUGCAAUGUCAGGCGCUGUCCAGGGUGCUGCAACAUGGGUUAUUUUCUGGCUGUUUUUAAUAAUCUGAAAGUAUUUAUAUCCCCAUUUCUUCAGAAUAAAUCUUAUUAAUUCAAUCUAUAUCCAGUGGGCAUUCAUUCUUAGAUUUUCUGGCUAUAAUUUUGGUAUUUUCUUUUUCACAACUGUCCUGUUGGCUUCUAUUCUUUUUACUUUCCCAUUGCUGUGAUUCCUAAUUUCCCUCAGAGAAAUAAAUUGGUUUUGGUUAUAUUUGUUUUGAGAUUCAAAUCCAGGCAUAUUUAUGGGGAUAUAAAAAUGCUUUAGAACCUCUUUUGAUAUAAUUUCAUUUGUUUUAAACUAAAGUAUACUACAAUAUAAUGACAUCUAUUUCAACAUUAUUGCAAAAAAAAUGGUGUACCCAGACUCUUUUAUAAGAAGGUAAAAUAAAGUUUGGGACCAAUUUUAGUGUGAAUGCAGGUUUUAUUUAUUAAGCCUGGGCUGCAAGGACAAGAAAAACCAUUGUGCAGAGCUUAAGACCUAUCUACUAACAAAUGGCCAUUUAGUUCUGAUUUAAUGUAACUCCUGGGCACCAGUGAAUCACCCACUGAGAUACUAAGCCAAAGCAUAAGAUUUUUAAGUUUUGAUGCUCCUUGUCAAACUGAUGCUUUAUACAGUUAGGCAUUUCUGUUGCUUAAAGGCUGAGUAAAUUAUUCAAGGAAAAAAAGUUGAUGUAACUGUUUUUUGAUUUUUUUUCAUGUUGAUUCAGGAGCUAUCUAGGUUCUUCAUUUAUCCAUUGGUAUAUGAUUUUAAAAUCUGGAUGUGAAGAAAGGGACCUUAUAAGUAACAACAUUUAUUAAUAUCAUAGUACAUUAUGUAAAAUCCUGACAAUUUAAAGAAACUGAUGAAUUUUAAUAAUCCAAGUUUUGAAAAUCAUAGUGUCAAAAACUUAACAUUUGUAUCUCUUUAUCAUACAUCAGCUUUAUUACUUUCAUUUUUACCCAGUUCAAAAUAUGCAAUUCUGUAAUUCCUAGCAUAAAUCAAUUUCUUGAAUCCUUUUAAACCUAUCAAAAAUUGAGAUUUUUCUGUUCAUUAUGGAAGUAGACAAUUUCUUUGAAUGCCUUUUUUUCAUUGUUAUUUUCCACAGUUGAAAUGAUGAAGCUAGUCCAAUAUGGGCAUAUGGGCCCAGGGAUACUCAGUAAAGAUGACAAGUCUGAUUGUCCUCUAGCAGGACUCAUAACACAUCAGAGAUAUUUUUUGAACAGAAAAAUAUUUGGCACAUGCCUACAUAUCAUCAAUUUGAUUGACAAUCUCAUUAUGAAAACUUCUCUGUUACAUGAGGUUAGAUCAUACAAAAUGAAAUUUCAAAAAUAAAAUUCUAGUACCCUUCAACAGAGGUUGUUAUUUGAUAGCAUGUUGUUUGUAAUUUAUGGUAAAUUCUAUUUACUUGCUUUUCUCAAUUACAUGUUAAAAAUAUCUUUAUUUGAAAUGUCUAUACUCUGAGGAAAAUACCUCAGUAUUGUAUAAUGCUCACUAUUUCAACCACUGGUAUACAUUUUCAACUGAAUAUUAUCAAAAGUUGUCAACUGAGAACCCUGAGGUCUAGCUUUAUUGGAGCUUUCUUUUUGACCCUUCUUAGCUGUGUGGUCUUGAGUAAUUUUUGCACCCUUUCUAGGUCUUAGAAUCAUCAUUUGAUAAACAGAAAUAGAAAUGGAUUUGUGGUUUCCAAGAUCAAAUCCUUGAACUGGGGCCUUUCUGAUAUAAAGUUUCACUAGUUCAGGUUACAGUGAUAAACAUAAACUGAGUUUAUUAUUUUAAUAAUUUUUUUAUUUGAGUUCUGAUUUAUGCUGUUAUUUGCUUGAUGUUAAUUUUUUUCUUAAAUUAUUAUAAGAAUAUCUCAAUCACAUUCAAUUUUAGACUCAGAAUUUUGUUUAGAACAACCAAAAUGUAAAAAAUAUAGUUGGAAACAGACCUAUUUCUGUUUAGACAGUGUACUGGAUAAUACAGAAUGACUGGUCAUUUUAUUAAUUAGAAUAAUGGUAUCACACUUGUCAUUAUGUUAAGAAAAUAUCUUUAUUUUUUAAAGCUUCAUUCUAACUAUAAGUUUUUUUUUUUAAAUAUGGGGUUUGUGAUAAAAAGAGUUCAUUAAAAUAUGUAGAUAAAGUAUAUAUGCCAAAAUGUUCAUGAUUUUUAAUCAGGAUUAUGGAUAGAAUGUGAUUGUCCACCAAUAUUCCCUAGUAUAUUUUCAGUGCUGGAAUUACAUUUAUUUGGUAACUUUGCAGUUAGGGAUUGCAUUGAGACAAAGUUCUAGUGUUUGAAAUGUGUCUAUGUAUAUCCUUGACUGAAUCUGUCACUUUCACUUCCUCAACUUCUGCCUAAUCUUUCAGAUAACAGAUUUAGAUAACAAGCAUUUAUUGAGAGUUUAAACAGUGCCUCUCAGUAUGAUUUUUAAAGCUAUGUGACAUCUCUAGGGAGUUAAUAAAUUAUUAUUUUUUGGAUAUAGACUCCUUUUUUUGCCAUAAAACAUCAGUGAGUCUUUGCUUCUAAAACUCUCUGCCAGUAAGAUAAGUACAUAUAAUACAAACUUACUGGGGUCAGAGAGACCCGAGGCCUCUGGGUUCAAUUCGCAGUCAUGGCACUUAUUAGGUAUUAAGAUUAAGAAUAUUACCCUGGAGGAGUUCCCAUUGGGGCUCAGUGGUAACAAACCUGACUAAUAUCCAUGAGGAUACUACAUUAAGGAUCCAGUGUUAAUAUGGCUAUGGCAUAGGCAGGCAGCUGCAUGCCUCUCCUAUAAUAAUUUGAAUCCAAAUAAUUGACUACUAGCCUGGGAACUUCUAUGUGCUGCAUGUGUGGCCCUAAAAAG
rnacentral:lncRNA from 1 species